CGGCCCGCGCAGCAGGGGGCGCGGCCAGCCUCGUUCCCACCCCGCGGCCUACAUAUAAAAGUGGCGCGCGAGUGGCACGCCCCCUCUUUCCCCGCGGAGCGCUUGCAAUGGCGGUUCACGGUGUGAUGGAGAGGUGGUUUUCAGUGGUGCCAAGUACAUUGUACAUUAAGCGCCUCAUGGAAGGACCAUCGCAAGUAGAAGAAUACUUGGUACAGACAAGUGGAUUUUCCUGAAAAACGUAGAGGCACGAACAGUUUCUAGUAAUGGCAAUGUGACAUGUCCUGAAAAAAGAUUUCCUCGCAACAGGAAAUAAAACAGAGGAAAACAAAUGUUUUAUAGAAAACAAGUAGGAACAAGUGCUUUUGGCUUUUUCAGUCAUGAAUUGGAGUGCUUUGUCAGAACUGCCUGACAAAUGUGGAUGAUGUAACCAGAAGGAAGUGUAACACCUGAAGAGAUACUGUGGCUUGAAAUGGGAUGCCAUGCUUUUAAAAGCCUGCUAAAACAGCUGCCAUUUUGUUCAGUAGAUACUCUCUCUGCAUAUUUAAAACGUCGUCCUUCCAGAAUACUGAACUGUCUUCUGUAGGAAGUGUAUGAGUAAUAUUAGGGAAAGGAGUACAUGAAAACCUUUUGAUUUUUUACCCUUUUAAAAAACCAUAUGGGUACGCAGUCUUGCAGAUACUAUAGAUCUGUGAUAACUAAGGAGUGGAGCUCACAGGCAGGCCCUGUAAAGAAAGGGUGAAAGCAAAGAAAAAGUCAAUGUCUACAUCCUGCAUCACUGUAUCUAGUAAUGGAGUGAGGAGUUGGGGUUUUAUAGACUGCCUUUUCAGCAGGAAAAGACUAAUAUCACAACAGUGGAACUGCCCUUUGAGGAAUACACUGGCACAACAGUACUUGCUUGCUCUCUGGGGGAAAGAGGUUCUGUGGGAAAAGAGAGUUACAUACAUUGGAACUUGGGCUUUUGUCUUGGUAUGAAAAGACAGGUGCCUGCUAAGGAAGGCAAGAGCCUCCCUUGAAAUGGAAAAUGUAAACCUCUUCUCUCCAAAUUGUUAUGAUUUUGAAAUUAGGGGCUCUCAGGCAAAGAUAUGGGAGUACGAAUAACAGUUCUUUAUUUGGAAUAAUAAAAGUAAAAAUAAAAAUGCAGUAAUACAAAACAACACGAACACAGUCAGAAUACAGCCUCUCACCCUGUUGGUCAGAGUGUUGGUAGCAGUCCUAAUUAAAUGGUGGCUGCAGUCCUGGAGUGACAUCUGUGAUGCUGUUAAAGCAGUGGCCCUGUAGAAGGCUGUAGUUUUCCUCUAAAGGUCCAGUGGUGGUGUAGAUUGGCAUGACCUUCCUCUGGGAAUCCAAUGGAGAAGAAGGCUGCUCUGAAAAUCCAGUGGGAGAAGGCUGACUGGUGUUCUGAAUCUUAGAUUAUAUCCAGGUAGGAAUGCUUGGGUCCUCCCCCUGGGCAGAGCAUCUCUCAAUAGGAUGAUGUAAUUUUAUCAGUCAUGCAGUGAGACUCAAAGGCUUAUUGACAGAAGAUGCCUUCCUGGAGGGAGGAUCCCUUGUGGAAGAGAUAAAACUGCCCAGUUAACAAAAGAUAAUAGCCCCAUCUCUAACAGAUGGGAAUACACACCCCCAGCUACAUCUUGCAACCUAAGACAGCUUUUAACAGUCACUUAAAAAGAGCUGGUGCUGUAAUCACAGUAACACUAUAUUUGCUGUAUUCAGCAAGCUGUCCCACUGAGGAAUGAAGGAUCAUAAAUUGGUCAUCAACUACAUUUAAGGACAACUCAACAACAAGCAUGACAGUAGCAUCUUCUAAAUUUUAUAGACCUGCUAUUACUGAAUCAUUUUGAAAUUGUCCAGAAUACAUAAAACAACCCUAUAGUUCAUCUCAUUUACCUGUUAAUCAGUGAUAAAUUCCAUGGAAAGUCCAAUUUUCUGUCAAAGUACUACGAAGUAUAAACACUUCUAGGAACAGCACAUAAAGCACAUAUCUUUGAUAUUGGAAAUAUCAAAAAUAAUUAUGCGACUGAAGUAGAUGCCAAUGAUCUGACUGAACUCCAGGAGUGCAUUGGCUCACUAAGUGUCUCCUAUGGUUUGCUUAUUAAGCAGUGGCCAGCUACUUUGGCUAAAGGCUGCUCCUUUUGAGCAAGGAAUGGUAAAUCAAUCUAUUAAAUAUCAAAAUCUGCAGAAAUGAACUAAAACAUAGCUUUCUCUUCAUUGCUUUCAACAAUACUUGUUUCUGUUAACUAAUGUUGCUGAGAAUGGUGUGUUUUUUCAUGUGCCAUGUUUUGUACAUGCUUUUGAAUAAAGGCUGUUAAAGUUAUGGCUGUUGCAUGUCAGCUGAGGAUCACACCCACGGUGUUCCUUGACUGCUUGUACUUCUCAAGAGCUAUGGAGGCAAUGUGGCCUUGUGCUGACUGGUGCAGCAUGUACUGGGCACACAAAGCUUCAUGUUCUUUGUGAGUGACUCCAGGACAAAAACUGCUGACUGCAUACUCAGGAAGUCAGAGAAGCCAGAGGAUCUGGUAAGGUUAGUCUCAAUCUUCUGCCCACUGCAAAUGUACAAAAAGUGGGUGCUGUUAACCGUAUUAAGUAGAGCUGCUUGGCUGGUUAAGUAGAAGUUUUCAGUCCUAGCUAGGUCAGUCUCUUCUGGAUGUUAAAACGUCAAAGAGCAGAGAGAUGGUUGACAGAAUAGCAGUAUUUGGUAAGUACUUAGUUAAAUAUGUAAGGCAGAUAUGACUUGAUUACAGGAUCAGAAGAGUGGCAUGUGGUUUUGAGAAAAGUACCAUUUUCAUCCUUGAGGCUGAUGUUAAACCAGAAUGUUAACCUUUACAGAGAAUGCUAUAUGUAUUUGCAGUAAAGUUGGUGAAAGUUGAGUUUAUCCUGUGAUGUUGGGGAUGACAGAAGACUAAAGGUUCACGGUUGUGGGUGGCAGUUCAGGUACCCAAAGUACUUCAUGACAGUCUUGCUCUGUAUGUUCUAAAGCAUCUGUGUGGAUGGUCUGGAGGUAGGAUUGACAGCAAUAGAGAAAGAAAUAGUUACUUCAUAUCAGUGUGGUGGAGGUGUGUCUCAAUGUUGAAUCAUGAAAAAGAUUGGCCUCUGAGCAUAUUAAAAAAUGUAGAUGUGGCCAAUGGUAAGGCAUUGAAUACUGAGCUAUAGAACUUUCUUAAGGAACGAUCCUAUACUUCAGAGCUACUGAAAAUAGGUAGCCAAUUUAAAAAUGUGUAUUAGUAGUAUAGGGAGUCGUGUUUACAAAAGUGAACUACUGUUUUAACCAUGACAUGUUCCAGAGGAUCUGGUUUAUAAGACCAGUGAAGAUAAUGUAGGAAGGUCAUGUUUAUAAAUUUUACAUGGAAAAGAUUACUUCUUUGCCUUGUGGGAGUGGGUUACUGUGUUUUCAAACCUUCAAACCAUUUGUGGAUUUAGUUCUGGUACAUUUUCUGGAGUGAUGCUUAGUGCAAGUGAGAUAAAGAGAUGUAGUUUUGGGGAGUAACUGUGUGACACAUUUGGAACAUGUGGCAUGGGAUUUCUCUGCAAAAGCAUUUCAUGAAACUUCAGGUUUACAAAACAUUAUUAAAUUCAAAGCUUUAAGAUUGUGCAGUAAACAGCAUGAAAGCAUUUUGCUGCUUUUGUGCUUUAGUCCAGUGAAGUCUUGCACUAGCCAUCAUUAGUGGGGAGCUAGAGGUGUCACAUGGCUGUUGGGCUGUGGUCCAAGAAAUCGGUGGUUAAACAAACUGUUCUGGAAUGUUGCCAUUUAUCAGUCUUAGUAACUGCGCAAAACCAGCAGAGGCUUAGUAAUUAAACGAAUGUUGAGCUUAUAAGCAAGAAUAGUACCUUGCAACCACAUGGAAGAUUCGAGAGUAGCUCUGCUAAAUGCUUUGCUACUAUUGAAGUAACAAGGUCCUUAUUAAGGUGGGACGUUUUGUCUUGCUGAAGAACUUGUCUUACUAGUGAAGGCUGUGAUCUAUAAUCAAGAGUUGCAAGUGAGUGAAACUAAGCUAGCAGUGGUUAUCUUGCCACAGCACCCACACUGCUAUGUGACUGCAAGUGCUGGUGUGACACCUGCUUGAAGUAUCAGAUCCUAGUGAACAGGAAUUUCAGAAUAAGCUGUGCUGUCUGGCUGCCAUCCUGCAGAGGAGUGUGUGACUGUGGCUGCAACUAUAUGGUGUACUGGUGUUGGGGUUCCUACCAUCUUUCCUGCAGGAAAGCUCUUAACUGUAUACAAUUGCCAUACUAAGUUUAGGGUAGGGGUUCUGCCAAUUAAAAACCAGUAUCGAAAUGAGCUGAUAAAAGCAUUCCAUGGGUCAUUCAAGCAUGGACACAGCAAAAUCAGCAAGUGUUUGACUUUGCCCAAGGAAAGGUAUUCUAUAUACUGAAGAGUUCAGUCCUAAAUUUGGUAGCUUUUCUUCACACUCCCUCCCUUUGUCCCAGAGGACAAUCUUUGAGCUAUCAUCUGGAGUAUGAAUGAAUUUGCCAGAAAAAAUAGUAAUUUCAGAUGAGUGGAGUACACAUGGAGGCUUAUUAUGCUAUGUAAAUGCAUAUCUGAUGAUGUGCAUUCUUUAUUUUUUGGUGUUACAGGUGGUUUUAUGAGCAUUUUUGCUUGUCUGCCCUUGUAUUUCACUCAGGGGAUAUAAACUGGAAAAGUACAGUUAGAAUGAUGAAUUCUACUUCCUCUCAAACAUCAUGUGGUUUUUUAGUUGAUAGUCCAGUUGAGCUAUCAGGGCUAUGAAGACAGUACUUCUCUGCCAUUGUCUCAAACUUCCUGCAGGCUCUGGAGGACAAAGUGGUGUUUGAUGCUCAGAAGAAUGGCUGUAUUGAGUGGAACAAAGUCUGCCUCGUUCAGUAUUCUGUCUGAGGAUGACCGGUAUAAGGAACAGAAGUAUACAGAGCUUUUCCAGCAGUUUUCUUGGGAAUCUUCUGAGAUUUUAAUUUGUGUUUGAAUACUACUUUGCAAUUAUGACCUAUCUCCAUUUAAAAAUAUUUGAAACAUCAAUGAUAUGUGGGCUGUAAAAUAGAGUAUUGAGUAUGUUAAUAAGUGUAGGGAGGGUAGGAUUGGGAGGGGGCUGAAGUAAAAGCUUUUUUUUUCCCCUCUCUGAAGCUGAUGCCACUUUUGAUUCUCAUGUUACUGAAAACAGUGGUAAGUGAAGUUCAGUGAAGGGCCCUGUGCUAGGACAGCCUUGCAGUUUAACAGAGCUGUGUUGGGCAGGAAAACUUGAAGUACUCAUGUGUGCUCUUACCCCUGAGCUAUACUUCAGGCUUCUCACCAGACCAAUAAACACUAUCUUUUUCCCUGAAACUGGAGUUCUCCCUAACUGAAGGAGCACUCUCCCAGCAUCCAUGGAACUAGUUUUAUAGUGGCAGAUGAAGAAUGAUUAGUAUCUGUCCCAAAAUGAAGUUCAGGGUUUUUUUGUGGAAAGAAAGAGAUGAAUGGACUGUAAUAUAGCAAAUAUUAGACUUAGACUUUACUUUGAAGUUGGUAAGUUGAUUGGAAAGUAAAGGUAUUUUUAAAUAGUUUUAAGAUCACUGAAGAAGAAUAUACAGCUAUUGCUAUAUCUAGGUUUCAUCUUACCUUGACAAAAUAGGAAAUAAUUUGCUCUAGGCUUACCUUGGUUUCUUUCGGAGUCAGGACUAUUUCAGAUACUAGGGUCCUGUGAAAAACAUUUGAGACUUAAACUGUUGUGUGUCUCAAGGUUUAAGCCCAGCCAGUGACUGACAACUGCAUCCUACCUGCCCUCGUAGGAUGGAGAGGAGAAUAUGAGGAAAGGUAAAAGCAAUGGACUGAAAGGGGAACAGAAUUGAAAUUAAACAUAGUAAUUGUACCAUAAAGGAAGACAACAAAAAGAAACCCCAAGGUAAACAAGUGAUGAUACACAAUGCAAUUGCUGAUCACCUGCUAACAGACCCAGCCUGGGUGAUGGAUCCAUGCCUCCUGGUCAGCUUCCCCCAGUUUAUGUACUGGGCAUGACAUGCUAGUAUAGAAUAUCUUGUUGGCCAGUUUGGGUCAGCUGUCCUGGCCUUGCUCUCUCACAGCUUCUUGAGCCCCUCCUGACAUGCAGAGACUUCUGGUUGUUGCCAAGUAGUGCUACCCCAACAUCACACCAUUAUCAACUCUAUUCUCAUACUGAAUGUAAAACACAGAACUAAGAAGUACCAGCUACUAAGAAGAAAACUAACCCAGCUGAAACCAUGAUGGUGUGUUAGCUCUGUCUAGUAGUUAGGUCAUUUUCUGCAGCAAAAGAUACAAGUGAAAUUGCUGUCUUUUGUUUCAUGCACUCCACCAGAAAAGUACAAUAUUGAAACAUGGUGAGGGGCAGUUCUUAAUGUGAUUGUGACUUCAUAACUGAAACAGUUCAGGUAUUAUUAUUCAUUCCUCAGAAUAUUAGAAUAAGCAUUUUCUGAAAGUAGUUGGAUUAUGUGGUUUCUGAUUCUGAACAUUUUAUUAAACUGCCUAUUUGCUACUGCAAACAGAAAGAGAAGUUUGGUUUGUGGGAAUUAGUGCUCCUUUCCCUCUUCCUGUUUCACAGAUUAUAAACCACACAAUCUAAAAAAUGUAACGGCAGGAACAGGAGUUACCUCUAAAACAUCAUGAAAUAGCAAUUUAUAAUAGAUACUAUUUCAGUACUGAGUGUUUCCUCAAAAAAUCUGCAUGGCAGGGAAGAGUGUCUAGGCUUUUGAAAGUGUUUCUGAAGUAGUACUCUUACACUUGUCUGAACUGGCUUGUCUUCAUUUACAUGUACUUCAACUUAAUUUCUGUUGCUAGUGAGAAGCUGUUCAAUGUAGUUUCUGCUAAUUUGACAUACAGGAUGUAAGGCUGCUGAAAACCUUUUUUCCAUGUAAAAAGAUUUUAAUAUGGUGAUCCUCUGGCAGGGGUUGGCUGCAAGGUGUUUUGUCGUGGUUUUGCCAUGUUUUUAAAUGCUAUGAGAAGAUGUCUGGAAAUUCUAUGAGUACUUUCUCCUGAGAGAAUUAUGUAGUUUCUAGUUUUAUAAUUGCAAAAGUAACACUGAACAAUUGUCGCCAGUGCUUAUUUUCUGUAAAAGUGCAGUCCAUUUAUUGAACUAUGGUGGAUAUGUGAAAAUCCAAAGCUUUUACCUUACAAAUAUGAUUUGCUAGAAGCUGCAGAUGUGAAGAGACCUGUAGUGUAAGGACCAUUGGCUUUCUGAUGGCUAUUGACUGACAGCACUAACUUUUAAGGGAAAAUAGUCACUUAGAUUUGAUUUUUGGUUGAAGAAACUUGUAAGUGACCAGGAUGGUUCACUAUAAUGAAACUCUCUCACCUACCUAUAAGAGAAGAGGAAUUCUGUUAUUCUGAGGUAGUGCUCCUGGAGGUGCUCUGUCUCUUGGUUUUAUCUGCUGUUUUUUCCUAAGGGCUACUUGGAGUUCUCUAGUGAUUUUUUCAUUGAGGUGGGACUAAGGAAUCCUGAAGUAUUGUUGAAUAUUAACUAGAAAAAUGCAUUUAAAAUGACAAAGGAAGUAUCCAUAUUUGGUCUUUCCUGAAGUUACAUCUUUUAUAGAAAUCUUGAACUUCUACAGAUAAUCUUCUCUAUCUCCCACCAUAAAAUUUCUUACGCUGAGCCAAGGUUGGGCCCUUGGUGUCCAAAACUUUUAUAUUGUACUGAGUUUUGUCCCAGUCUCUUAAAGAUACUAUUCCUCCUCUUCUAUACUAGUCCUGUAUUGCUUUCCUUUUAGCAGUUAUGUAUUAAAUGUAAAAAACCACAAAAUUCUGUAAGACUACAUAAGCGUUCAGUAUUAAUCCCAGAAGGGCUGUAAGAAUAUAUGAAACUUCUGUGAAGGGAAAAAAAGAAAGAUCGCUGGGACUCGAGGAUAUAGUAACAAAAUUGAAAUAUGUGAUGAGUUUUAAAACAAGACCAGCUCCUGCAGUUGAUGUGAUUUGACAGCUGUGAUUUGCUCUUCAGAAAUCAGAGACAGAGCCUGAAAAUAAGACACUUCUGAGGUAAAUUGCAGAUCUAUCAGCAAGGACAGCUAGCAGGGCUUCAGGUUGUUUUAGAUACGGGAGGGAAAUACUUCUUUCUCUACUUCUGUGUUCAUACUGAGCUAUCUGCUGGAAAGUUUCAGGCUAUAAAGUAGGUGUUAAGAAAAAAGUGGAAGGUGAGUAUUAUUUUAAAUAAAAACCUUUCUCUACUCACAAUUAAUGUAAUAGGGCUAAAACUCAACUGUACUUUGUAUAGUAUUCUCCAAAGAGCCAUGACCAUUUUUCAGAAAUAUCUCAGUUUUAUAGAAAUAGACUUGGUUGAACUUGCUCUUCUCUCCUUGACUAUUUUCAAGUUUGGCUGGGAAACAGGCACCUCAAAUUCAUUAAAAAGGCAGAAAUUAACGUCUGUGAAGAUGACAGCCUUUUCUAUAGCAGCAGCAAAAAGGACUAUCAGCAAAAUUGGCAUCUGGCCCUGGAAGCAAAACAUUCUGAGUUUCUGCUAAAGCUUCCAAAAGAAGCAUGAUAAUGAGGUUUUAGAAAAUUCUUGGGCUGUCUUGAUUUCAUAUGCAAUCUAAUCCUACUGCUCAACUUUGGUGAUUAAGAUAAAUAAUAUAGAAAAUACUGUCUUGGGCCAAGAAACAGAAAGUUAUGAAGUAUUUCUUUUCUAUGGUUCACUGAGGUAGUCUCCCUUUUUGCUGGGAUUUAACCUUAACAUGAACUUAGUCAUUGUUGGGGUGCAUAGAGUCACUGCUUGCUAAGACAUCUGACUAGCACUUGGGAUGGCAGAGGCUCAGAGGAAAAGCUGAUGUGCUACCAGCACUACUACUACCCUAAGGGUGGAAAAAAUAGAAGAAACCAUUUGUGUCACCUUGGCUGAGCUAUAGAAAGCAGGUGAACUUCUAGGCUGGGAAUGUCUCAUGUUUGGCGUUCAUUAUGUUGGGUUUUAUUUUGGUGUAGAUUGGGGGGUUUUGUGCAUAGUUUACAGAAGUUUCUACUUGAAUAGCCUUCCCUUCUUAAUUCUGGUUCUAUUUUUUUUCAUUGUGCACUGAGACUGGAGGAGUUUGAAAUCUUUUCAGACUAAAAAAAUUAUUCUGCGCUUUCCUCACUGCCUCUUUUGGCUGCAGCAGGUCUGUAUCAAUACUGUUGAUCUGAAAUUUGUUAAGAGUCUUCAUGCAUCAAGUUUACUAACCAGGACUGUUUAAAGGGAUUAAAAUAAAAGUUAGCACUAAAUUACAAACCUUUGCUUUUUAGUGUACAUAAGAUCAUCUCUUGGGUAAGAAUUAUUUUAUAAUUUUUCUUAUGAGACACAUAAGAUGUGGAUAUGGCAGUAAAAUCUAAAAAUGCCUGACCUGGAAGCAUAUGAAAGAAUUUAGAAACUUCUGCAGUUAACUGUCAUCAGUGAUUUUAACUGUUUUUUUAUGGACAUGCUCGCUCAGCUAUUUUUAUUGAUUCUGCUGAAUCUAACUAAGAAUGGAUGUAUUGGCAGUAAAAAUGCAUAUUCUCACACAGUUGCAUUGUCUCCUCUUGCUGCUCAGUAGGUGCCUCCAAACACCACUCUCCAUUGGUACAUAACUGCAGUUGGAAAACACAAGAGCUAUUAGAAGUGUUCUGAUUAAUUUAAAUGUGGUGUCAAUAAACAAGUUCACAGAUUUAUUAGCCAGGUAUUUACCCAGUCAUAAACUGAAUUUUUUUUUUAAUUGAUCCUAAUACAUUUAAGUUUUCAAAAUGAAACUUCCCUGUAAAUAUUCUUACUGCUAUUUUAAGAUCUAAACUUUAAAAAAGAAAAAACAACCUUUUUUGGUUUUGUACAGGAUCAAAACUAACUGAAAAUUUUUUAAAAGCAGGUUAAAAGCAUAAUAUUCUUUAUGUGUCCCCUGCAGAUCACAGAAUAGCAAUAUAUAUUUUUUCUAGUUACCAGUUGCCGUGAAAAAUUAAACCUUUGCUUCUCUAAAGAUCUAAACCUGUGCUUCUAGCAGCACAAUACAGCUGCAUUAGUUGUACCAUAUUAAAUUACAAAUUUGUUCAGGUUUGAGCACAGGUUAUGUUGCCUGCACUGCCCUGUGCAAAACUAUGAAGAGAUUCCUGCUUAAGGCUGCACAAGCUGGAAAGGGAAAACUCAUACACAUGUGUUGAAGCUUUAUUUAAGGUUUAGAUCUAAUUCUAGUAUCACUCAAGAUCCAUGUAGAAGUCAAGAGUAGAUCCUCCGAAAGAAGAUUAUUGAGAAGCAGCAAGCACAGCCUGAGGUACUGAUAAGAGUCAGAGUUCUUUAUCCCUGUGCUCUGGUCUGAUGUUUGUGCUGUAAGUGAGAAUUCCCAUAGGGCAGCAUUCUCCAGGUAUCUUUAAGAAAUAAAACAAAAUAAAAAAUCAUUUGUACACAAAAGUUUGUAUGAUCUGCUCUUGGGAUCUGUAGAAAUGCUGCAUUUUGAUAGUCACUUCUGCCUUGUACCUGGCAAGGGUCAUAAAAGUGUAUGUGUGUGAGCUCAUUCUAUUCUUACAAGGACCUUGAAGACACAAGGUUAUUUGGGCUCACCCAUCCUUGAAAGAAUUUUUAGGUUCUUUGGUUACAUGCUAAGUAGCCUAGAACACUUGACCUGAAAGCUGUGUAUUGCAGCUGCUGCAUCAGACACUUUCCUGAGUAAUCAGCCAUAGAAUUACUGGCCAACUAAAACGGCCUGGGACAUAAGCCCAAUUCCUGGCUACUGAUCAUCCAUACCAUAAAGGGUAAAUGCAGUCUGACAGCUAAAGCCUGGGCAGCAGUUUAAUAUUUGGGCAUGGUUUAGAAGUUAAGGUGGAUGAGAGCUUAGCUGUGAGAAUGCAAGCUCUGCUCUCCAUAUUUCCCUACAGCUGGAGAACAGCCCAUGACCUGUCCCAUCUGCUGUGUGCCUGUGGCCAUUGUGUCUGUGGUGUGCUGUGCUCUCCCUUCCUGGGAAAGAUGCCCAGAGCUGGAGAAGAACAUUCCCAGUGACAUGCUGUCUGCCUUUGGAGAUGGGCUUAGUGCACAGGCCCACCACAUGCUCAGGUCCAUGUCCAGACAGGUUUUGGAUGUCUUGGAGGAUGGAGACUCUACAACCUCCUUGGGCAACUGAUGCCAGUGCCUGGUGACUCUCGCAGUGAAAAAGUGUUUCCUGAUGUUCAGAGUAUUUCAGUUUGUGCCCAUUGCCUCUGGUGCUGUGAAUCACACUGGAUUUGCAAAUGCUUUGUUUGCUCCUUUUGUUUUCCUGACUUAGUUAGAAGAAGUGGAGUGUUUGAAGAAUCAGUAGGAUCAAAGUUAGAACUUUAGAAAUUGUUUAAAUAUAAGGGGGAUUAACCUCGAUUUUAAGAAGUGCUACCCUGCCUAGAUUUGAAAAAGUUUGAAUAUGCACAAAGGAUAUAACUGGAAAGAAUGUUAAAAGAAAAUAUUACCAUUAGUUAUGUUAGUAAAGUUUCUUUGCUGAAAUCAUAUGACAAUUUUAGAUGGUAAGCUGCUUUUUAUAGCACGGAAGGACUCUCAAAUCUGCAUAUUAAAGACUAAGACAGUCAUAUAUGAAAAGUAUUUUUUCUGAAGGAAGUUUCAUAUAUGUGAUUCAUCUCCUUUUCAUUAGUUUCUGACUUGCAUUUUUCUCCUAAGAGACACAGGCCUUGCAUUUCAUAAUUCAACCUAUCUUUUAAGACAGAGAAUUUGACUGAUAAAAGGAAAAAAAUAGCACAAACUUUUAAUUACACCGGUCUUUCUUCAAAUAGCUUUAUUUUACCAAGGAUCUCUCAGGGCAAAAAGGCCACUAGCCAGCUGUGCACUACAUUGAAAAAAAUACAGACAGCAAUCCUUUCCAGAAGUAUCUUUAUAAUAUAUAGAUAUAUUAAGAACUUGGCAGCCUUACUGACCAGGUUAAGGGCAGGGAAUGGCUUGAAAAGCACACUGCUGAGAAAUCCCAAGAGUGGCUCAUUAAUUUCAGAAUUCUGCUGUGGCAGACACAGCACAAGGGGCUUGUUUUGUUAUUAUGAGUGAUGACAUUUGCUACAUGACCAGAGUGAUCCACCCUCUAGGGCUGUAGGUGGUGCAUUUCAUAGCUCAAGUACAGUGAAUUCUACAGACAAACCUAAAUUUUUAACGAGUACACACUUUGGAAAGGUGAGGCAUCAUAGAAACUGAAGGUAAGAUUCCUGUUGCAUUUUCUAGAUUUUUUUGUUCUUUGUUUAGGAUAUUAUUGUUGAACUGUAUAAAAGUAGCUCCAAAGCAAAAAAUAGUCUCUUAGUCUAUUUGUCAAAUUAAAUUUAUUUUUUGCUGCUUUAUCUGUGCUACUCUGUAGUUGGUCUUCUUGUAAUCACUGGUUUUACAUGGAUGUGCUGGGAGGAACAGAAGUCCAGGUGUGGCUUCAGUGUGGUUCAGCAAUGGCUGUAACUGGAACAGAAGCAGGUAGGGUUUUUACAUACCAGGAAAAUUUAGGAAUCAACACAACUUUCCUUGUGGUGAGAAGGUGUCAAACUUCCAGGUAUGUGCAGAGAAGCUCCUCAUGGAAAUCUAAGUCACCAGGUAAGUACCUGCAAAUGUUCUUGGCAAGGGUAUUUUUUCAAUCAAUGUUUUACAUGAUUAAAAAGAAACAUCUCCACUGGUUUCAUGGAUCUUCUCACAGAAUUACAGAAUAUUCUGAGUUGGAAGGGACCCACAAGGAUCAUUGAGUCUGAGUCUUAAGUGAAUAGCCCAUGCAGGGAUUACACCCCUGACUUGGUCUCAUUAGCACAAUGCUCUACCCAGUUGAGCUAAUCUCAGGGUUUUCCCGGGCAUGCCACUUUUGGCUUUGAUAAUAGGGCUAAUAAUGGAGCUAUAUUUGGAGGAAUUGUGUGUCAGACUCUGUGCUUCCUGCUUUCUAUGUAAAAUUUCAAAGGAUCAAAUAACUGCAACUCUGGGCCAGCUGUGAUUUUAAGUAAGGGUGCAAAUCUGUUCACUCUAUUAUUCCUAGUCUUUUUAUUGGUUUUGCUUCCAUUUUAUGGAGGAAAAAGUUAAAUGCAUAAAAAAGUUUUCCUCUAAAAAUGGGCCUGAAAGCAGGACUUAGUUUCUCAGGAGUUUGCCACCUACAGUUAGUCAGAUUGACUGGCUGAGAAUUAUAAUAAAACACAAGUUCCACCUCAACAUGAAGAAUAAAUUAUUUACAUUGAGGAUGGCAGAGCACUGGAACAGACUGCCCAGGGAGUUCAUGGAUUUCCCUCUCUGGAGAAUUCCAAACCCACCUGGACAUGUUCCUGAGUAACCUGCUCUAAGUGACCCAACUUCUGGCAGGGGAGUUGGACUGGAUAAUCUCCAGAGGUCCCUUCCAACCAUAAUGGUUCUGAGAUUUUUCAUUAGUUCCAGAGAACAAGUGCAUUUAUGAAAUUCAGGUAAUAUUCUGGACCACAUCUGUACUAUAAACAUAACACUGAAACACCUUCUAUAAGCAACAUGCUUUGGUGCAAAUCCUCCAAAACUGGAAAAAUUGGAAAUGUGAAAAAAUGCUCCCCAGGGUUGUUUUUGAGAAUAUUACUUUCACUGCCCAGCUGACAGCUAUGUUCUUGGAAAAAGUUAUUAACGUUUGAAAGGAAAAAAGAAUAUGUAUUUUUAUAAAGGAUAUGUUUAAAAAUACCUCUAAGGUUUCCACUAGAAAAGUUAGCUUUUGUUUUACUAAUUUUUUUUUCAGGUUUCAUUUUUGUAAAGGUGGGGCAAAGUCAGAAUAAAAAUUACCUUUUAUCAAAUUUUUGAAUUAAAAAUUAGCAAGACUAUUUGAUAGUGUACAUCUGCCUUGUAUUUGUUGCUAUUUCAGACAAAUAUGACUGGUCCAGCUUUUAAUGAAGUCUUAUUGCAUCGAA